CCUACGGGUGGCAGCAGUCGAGAAUUUUUCUCAAUGGGGGAAACCCUGAAGGAGCGACGCCGCGUGGAGGAUGAAGGUCUUCGGAUUGUAAACUCCUGUCAUUCGAGAACUAGUAUCGAAAGAGGAAGGGACGGCUAACUCUGUGCCAGCAGCCGCGGUAAUACAGAGGUCCCGAGCGUUGUUCGGAUUCAUUGGGCGUAAAGGGUGCGUAGGCGGCAUGGCAAGUCGGGUGUGAAAUCCCGGGGCUCAACCCCGGAACUGCACUCGAUACUGCCGUGCUUGAGUGUUGGAGAGGAGACUGGAAUUUACGGUGUAGCAGUGAAAUGCGUAGAUAUCGUAAGGAAGACCGGUGGCGAAGGCUAGUCUCUGGACAAUCUGACGCUGAGGCACGAAGGCCAGGGGAGCAAACGGGAUUAGAUACCCUUGUAGUC
rnacentral:rRNA from 1 species